GACCGUGGCUUUCUAAAAGAUAGCAAUGCAAUUCUUCACCCAAUGAAAUCACCGUACAAGCCACCUACUCCCAUCUAAGCAUCACGUGAACAUAAAGAGAGAAAUUGAAGUGCUUAAAUUUUUAAGAACAGGACAUCCAAUGUAAAUGAAUCAACGUCAUUUCCUUCUUGAAGAAAGGAAUAAAUUGCCUCCAAAAUAAAUCCCAACAGCUGUGACACCAAUGAGAAGCUUAAAAGAAAUCUCAAGAUUUUGCACCAAAUGAAAGGGAAAGAAAAAAAAAAUUUACUUCCUUCAUUCAAUCACUGAAACCGUGAGUUCAUCCCAUUCAAUCCUCUCCAAAAAAAAAAAAAAAACGUUACAGCUCACAAAGAAAGGAAAUAAAACUCCAAAACUAAAAAAAACUGCAGCCAAU
rnacentral:lncRNA from 1 species